rnacentral:ncRNA from 1 species
AUAAACUCGAAGAAUGUGAGGAAAAGCGUCAGUGAACCGUUCAGAGAGAAAGGCCAUUGCUGGGAGGCCUUUUCGGCAAGGCGCUCAGGUCGCACAGGAGAGGCAGUGGGGAAUGAAGUACUCACUGACGGAAAACCCGUUAGCAAAUGACAAGUGCUGGGAAACGCAAUGUUUCUCAGAAUAAAGGUGGUACCACGAAAGCUUUUCGUCCUUUAC